GACGAACGCUGGCGGCGUGCUUAACACAUGCAAGUCGAACGGAAAGGCCCUGCUUUUGUGGGGUGCUCGAGUGGCGAACGGGUGAGUAACACGUGAGUAACCUGCCCUUGACUUUGGGAUAACUUCAGGAAACUGGGGCUAAUACCGGAUAGGAGCUCCUGCUGCAUGGUGGGGGUUGGAAAGUUUCGGCGGUUGGGGAUGGACUCGCGGCUUAUCAGCUUGUUGGUGGGGUAGUGGCUUACCAAGGCUUUGACGGAUAGCCGGCCUGAGAGGGUGACCGGCCACAUUGGGACUGAGAUACGGCCCAGACUCCUACGGGAGGCAGCAGUGGGGAAUAUUGCACAAUGGGCGGAAGCCUGAUGCAGCAACGCCGCGUGCGGGAUGACGGCCUUCGGGUUGUAAACCGCUUUCGCCUGUGACGAAGCGUGAGUGACGGUAAUGGGUAAAGAAGCACCGGCUAACUACGUG
rnacentral:rRNA from 1 species